rnacentral:rRNA from 1 species
AAGUCGAACGGAGUGUUGAGAGCUUGUCUUUUAACACUUAGGUGGCGGACGGGUGAGUAAUGUAUGAGCAACCUGCCUUUCAGAGGGGGACAACAGUUGGAAACGACUGCUAAUACCGCAUAAAGUAUUUAGGAGGCAUCUCUUGAAUACCAAAGGAGCAAUCCGCUGAAAGAUGGGCUCAUAUCUGAUUAGCUAGUUGGUGAGGUAACGGCUCACCAAGGCUGCGAUCAGUAGCCGGACUGAGAGGUUGAACGGCCACAUUGGGACUGAGAUACGGCCCAGACUCCUACGGGAGGCAGCAGGUGGGGAAUAUUGGGCAAUGGGCGAAAGCCUGACCCAGCAACGCCGCGUGAAGGAAGAAGGUCUUCGGAUUGUAAACUUCUUUUAUGAGGGACGAAGGACGUGACGGUACCUCAUGAAUAAGCCACGGCUAACUACGUG